rnacentral:sRNA from 1 species
UGAUGAAGUAUCAGUUGCCGUGGCUG